UUUCCAGUAGCUCAGUGGUAGAGCAAACGGCUGUUAACCGUAAGGUCGCUGGUUCAAACCCAGCCUGGGAAG
rnacentral:tRNA from 1 species